AAGUUCCUGUAUUUUUAUGUGGAGUUGCUCACUGCCCAACGUAGAGGACUAGGAAUCAGGAGUCGGUGGCCGUAUGCUGGAGGCUGGAGCCGCGGGAGCGCGGCUCGCCUCGCUGCGGUUGUUGGCAGUGACGGAGAGAGAGCAGCGCGGCUGGAGCAGACGGAGUCUCGGUCUGUCGCCCAGGUUGGAGUGCAGUGGCACGAUCUCCGCUCACUGCCAAGCUCUGCCUCCUGGGUUCACGCCAUUUUCCUGCCUCGGCCUCCCGAGUAGCUGGGACUACAGGCGCCUGCCACCACGCCAGGACACUUUUUUUGUAUUUUUAGCAGAGACGGAGUUUCACCAUGUUGUUAGCCAGUAUGGUCUUGAUCUCCUGGCCUCAUGAUCGGCGCCCCUCAGCUUCCCAAAGUGCUGGGUGUACAGGGGUGAGCCACCGCUCCCUGCCUGUUUUUUCAUUCUACUGAUUGCUUCCUCUGCUUUGCUGAGGCGUUUUUUUUGUUUUUGAGACGGAGUCUUGCUCUGUCGCCCAGGCUGGAAUGCAGUAGCAUGGUCUCAGCUCACUGCAAGCUCUGACUCCGGGUUCACGCCAUUCUCCUGCCUCAGCCUCGCGAGUAGCUGGGACUGCAGGCGCAGGCUACCAAGCCCGGCUAAUUUUUUGUAUUUUUAGUGGAGACGGGGUUUCACCGUGUUAGCCAGGAUGGUCUCAAUCUCGUGAACUCAUGAUCUGCCUGCCUCGGCCUCAAAAAGUGCUGGGGUUACAGGCGUGAGCCACUGAGCCCGGCCUGGAAACGUAACUUUAUUUUUUAGUGUUGUAUUUGUGCAUAUACUUUAAUAGCCCUGAGUUUUAAUAAAGUUGCUUUUAAAAAAUGUAUCUUAUAUUUCAGAAAUACACCCUAAGGCAUGUGAUUAGUUGGGUGGCAUGUUGUUUAGUUUUUACAAUUGAAGGAUUGUCAUUCCUUUGUACAAAAAAAAAAAAAAUUAAACGUGAAUUUUUAUCAUAUGCUAGAGGAAAGAAGGCAGAUACUAAAUAAUAAAUAUUGUAUGCUUCCACGUAAAUAAAAUUUGAAAUUAUAUAAAGACAAUGCAUUAAACUUUUCUGGGGUUGAAGUGGGGAAUUCACUGGCAAAGGUCUUGCAAUAAAUGUGUAGGUGAAGGGAAUAUUCUAUAUUUGAUUGUGUAGGUGGUUAUCUAGCUUUAUAAAUUUGUAAAACUGAACUGGACUAAAAUGUGUGCCUUAUACGCAGAUUAUUCUAUAAAACUGAUUAAAACUAGUUAGAGAAUCAGUCAAGGGGAAAAGAAAGAAAAGGCACGUGAAAAAAUGCCAAUGCACUAGAAUUAUCUUUGAUGACAUUAAAUAUAGCCUGGUCUUCUCUUAAUUCUUUUUAAAAUUUACGUAGAUUUCUCAAUCCUUUGAUACUUUUUCCUCAACACAUCUUAUAUUCUCAUAUAUGUUAAUGUAUGGCUACAUAAGAGAGGGCUCUCUUACAGUUGGACUGGAACAGCUUGAUAUUUAUAUCUAGAGAUGCAUCGGAAGCAUAACACUGACCCGUGAGCAAGAUGAAAAUGGCAUGUGCUAGUUAGUGAUUCCUAAUGUUGCUUUAAGUUUAGUGCCAACUGGUCUACAUCGUUGAGAAUGUUUAGUUUGAUGGUUUACACAACUUGGCUUAAGAAGUAUAUGACCAACAAUGUAUGAGGGAGCCUGCUGUAAAGACUUUUCUGCACUUCCCUUUAAUUAUUAUAGUAAGCUCAAAUCUUGAAGGUUCAUAAUAUACAGAUAAACUGUGUCCGUGAGACUGAGAAAGGAUCUUUAGGGAGAAAGGCCCUGUUCCUGAAAGACAGACAUUCAAUGAUUUCCUGCAUUUUAUUUCUGUUGUACUUUACCUUUACCUUUAUUAAACACUAAUAAGGUGGUUCUUACAGGGCCUCAUAGGCCUUUUUAGUUUUCCAACCUAUUCAUACUUGGUGCAAACCUAGUAAUUUUUUGCGUGAUAGUGUUGGGAUUUUACUCUGAGGCUAGGCUUCACACUGUAAAAACAGCUUUUUGGAAUUGUAUCAUUUUCAGUCUUCCCAUCGUGUUCCACUGUCCCAGCCACACACACACCAGAUAUGAAGACUACAAGCAACCGCGAAAGGUGUAACACAUGUAUAGUAGAUGUUUUUACCUCUUGUAAAAUCUAAGGAAAAUAUACUAAAAAUGAAGGCAUCAGUAAAACAGUAUCAUUUUAGGUUGACCUCGAGUAUUUCAACAUCAGUCUAGCUUCAGAACAAUACAUUUGCAAGGGGAAAUGGUGUACUUUUGUGGUUUUUUUACACCUGUUAUUUCAAUUGAAAUUGAAAAAAACUAAUUUGAACUAACUAUAACCAUAAAAAGAAGGUUUUGUCAGUAUUGAAAUAAAAUAAAAUGCAUUUGUGGGACUGACCUCAGGACGCAUUUUAAAUAGUCAAUACUACCUCUAAAUCUCAUUCCCCCUUCUCUGAGCAUCAGCUUUAUUCUUAUUCCAUCUUUAAUUUGGCACUGACAGAUACAGACUCAUUCUUACAACAUAUACCAUCAGAAGUGAAACCUUCACUCUCUCCAACUCUUGAAAAAUCUGAGAUGCACUUUGACUAUUCUCAGAUCAUGGAUCUAUUACUUGGAUCAAAAAGUAUUGCACAGGGAAGUAGAUACUAUGAUCUCUGACAUUACAGUUUCAAGGUUGGAGUGAGAAAGGGAUAGCUCCCUAACGAGGGAGUAUCAUAGAAAUGAUAUUUUCAUGGUUAUACUUUUGUGAACUAGGCAGACAUCCCUUCAUGUCAACUACAUCUCUACUUUGAACAGAUAAAUAUCCAUGCAUAUACAAAAUUAUACAGUAACAUAAGCAUGACUUUUCAUUAAAAUUUUAACCAAAACAGUCUAUUUAGGUGAAUAAAUAUCGAUACAGGAGAUAGUUUUGCUUGAAUGAUCUUUUACCCUUGGGGAGACAUACAUAAAAGAAUGUCAUACUUUAUUAUGAAAUGACUGUCCAGCAUAUUUAUGAGUAAACUUUCAUAAUUUCUUUAUUGUCUAAAAUAAGCACAAAAACCCUUUUAGUUAAUUAAUAUCCCUUUUUGAUAUACGGAAUAAAUAUAAGAAAAUAGCACAAAUGGUAUUAUGCCAGCACACAGAAAAAGUUUCUGUUAAAAGUCAAUCCUGUAUUUUGAGAACUUGACAAAAUCAUAAUUGAAAAUAGUGUGUUGUCUUACAUGCAGAUGUUGUGUAGUCAGGGACAUCCAAAUCAACCUACAUCCAAAUAUUUCACAAUUAGUCUUAUUCUGUGAAGUAUUAUAAAACCACGCUCUCAGGAAUAUAAAAGCACAAAGGGACCCAGGACUCCAAAUAGCCAUUUAUUCAUUUCCUAAGGUUAGGUACAAUGAGGACUGCAUUUUCAACAUUAUCAGGGCCAUACAGACAUUGGAGCUUAAGGAUAAGAUCCAAUUUCAUAGCAAUCUGUUAAAGGAUAAGCCAGCGUAAUGACCCAGAUGUUCACCAUAAUAAUUACCAUCUUGAGUGAUGAUGCUAUGAAUACAAAGGAACACUGCAUCUCUAAAAUAAACUACGUUUAUAUGACGAGACCAAUUUGAUGGAAAGAAGGCAAACUGUGAAUGGUAAUUUUGUUUUCAUUGUGUGUACUCAUCUGAAAAUACAAUACUAUAUAAUUAGAAAACUUACAACACAAAUAAGACUGGAAGCCUUAACUUUUUAUAUCAAAUGUUCUGCACACAAAUAUAGCCUUUUACUGAAGAUCUAUGGAUCCAAAAUAUUGGUAGCUAUAAUUAUGCUUUGUAAAACAGAAGCUAUGAAUGCCUUACUACAGAAAGACACAAAGAAUCAUUUCCUUACUCACUGCUAGUAGACCCCGGGGCACAGCAUUUCCUGCCCAGAUACCUGAUUAUUAAUCCAGUUUUUGCUAGGGGUAUACUAACUAACUAACGGAGAUUGGUGUUUAAACCAGUUAAUGCAAAGAAAUGCUGUAGGAACUGAAAUAUUCCUUUUAAAUUAACAAAAGUGUUCUUUCUAGAUAAAGUUACAUGAGGACCCAAAUGUAUAAAAGAAUGUUUUGUUAUAUGGUUUUAGUACUUUGUUAGUGCCAGGUUAAAGACAUGUGGCCCUAGAUAGGAUAACUACAGAAAAGAAUUUGUUUACCUGCUUCACUAGAAAUCCAACAAUUAAGUCAGUAACUCUAUUUUCCAAUAUUCAUUUCCUCCAUUUUCUCAUCUUUUUGAUUGAUGGUAUCAUUUCGUUAUUUCAUUUUCAUUGACAUGGAAUUCAUUUAGGCUAAAACGACUUUUUGACUAUUUGUAUAUAUAUAUAAUUUUAAAAUCAAUGAACAAUAUUGUUUCUCUAUUUCCAAGAUUAUCCCUCUAUAUUCUCUAAAGUCAAUACCGUGAAACAGUCCAGAUAUGAGUCCAGGAAUGGCAGUAUGAAAUACUGUAAAACUGGAAGCAACUUAGUAGGUAAUCAAUAGGGAAAAUGAAACUCAAUAUAAUUGACUCUAGUUAAUGUAAUGAUGCAUUUAUUUUAGAUUUUUCUUGCAUUCCUAAGUCCUGCCUGGUUAUAGUAUAUUACAUGUUUUAUGUAUUGCUGGAUUUUGAUCGUUAGCAUUUUGCUGAGGAUUUUUUCCAUCUAUUUUUGUUAAAGAUAUUGUUCUGUGUUUUUGUUUUCUUUUUUUUUUUUUGAUGCUAUUGUAUGGUUUUGUUAUUAGGGUAAUACUAGCUUCAUAGAAUAAACUGGGAAGCGUAUUCUCUUUUUUUUUGGCAAGAGUUUGUAAAUAAUUGUAUUAAUUCAACUUUGAAAGUUUGGUAGAGGCAUUCUUGGCUAGAAGAUUUGUUGCUGUUGUCAUUGUUUCCUGAGGUGGUAGUUUUGAUUACUAAAUCUCUUUACUUGAUAAGAUUUUAUAUUUCUCCUUGAUUCAUUUUUGCUAAUUUGAAUCUUAGAAUUUGUCCUGUUCUUUAAAAAAUCUAAAUUUUAGAUAUAAUUGUUCAUAGGUACUUUUGUAAUAAUUUUUUAUGUCUUUUAGUGUUCUUUUAAAAAUUUCAUUGAUACUUGAAUAGUUUCUCUUGUUGGUCAGUUUAUGUAAAUUGUGGCCACUUUUGAUGUGUUCAAAGAAACAAUUUUUGGCUUUGUUGAGGUUCUCAAUUGUUUUUCUAUUUUGUAUUUCACUAAUUUGUAUAUCCCUAAUACUUCCUUGUGGUUGCUGUAGUUUUAAUUUGCUCUUCUUUUUUCAGUGCCUUAUGGUGGCAGGUUAGAGAAUGUUAUUUUUGAGUAUGAGAACUACUUUUAUUGCAUCACGUAAGAGAUAUUAUGCAUUCUUAAAGUGUUUUAUUUUUUUUAAAGUAUUUUCUAAUUUAUCUUAUUUCUUCUUGGACCCAUUGGUUAUUUAAUAGCAUGUUUAAUUUCCACAUAAUUCUGAGUUUCCCAAAUUUUCCUAUUGCUGAUUUAUUAUUUUACUCAGUUAUUGUCUGAAAAUAUACUUUGUAUUAUUCCAAUGUUUAAAUUCAUUGAGGUCUGUUUUAUGGCCUGGGGUAUGGUAUUCCUGGGUAAUAUUGCAUGUGCACUUGAGAAUCUACUGUUGUUAAAGUGUUCCUUAAAUAUCUAAUCAGUCUAGUUAUUUUGUAGUAUUGUUCAAGUGUUCUAUUUCUUUGUUGAUCUUCUGCCUAGUCAUUUUAUCCAUUUGUGAAAGUGAGUAUUAAAGGCUGCAAGAAGUAUGUUAAAUUGUCUAAUCUUCAUUUUUGGAGGUUUCUGUGUCAAUAGAUUUUGAAGUUUUUUAUCACACACAUAUAUAUGCCUGUAAUUGUUAUUUAUUUUUGAGAUAUUGGCCCUUUUAUUUUUAUGAAAGCUCUCUUUACCUCUGUAACCCCUUUUGUUUUAAAGUCUAUUUUUUUUCUGAUAUUAAUAUAACAAUUCCUGCUUUCUUGUGGUUACUGCCUGCAUCAUAUAACUUUUCCAUCCUUUUUUUCCUAUUAAUUUUCAUGUUUGGAUCUGAAGUAUGUCUCCUGCAGACAACAUGUAGAUGGAUCUUAUUUAUUUAAUUUGUUUUUCUCCAGUCUGACAAUCUGUCUUUUAUUUGAAUAUUUAAAUUCAUUUUCACUUGAGGUUACUAGUAUAGAUUUACAUCCAUUUUACUUCAGUUUUCUGUAUACCUUAUGUCUUUUCAUUUCUCUAUUCCUCCUCCUUUCUUUUGUAUUAGGUAUUUUUUAUAAAACAUUUAAUCUAUAUUUAAUAAUAUCUAUAUUUUUUCAAUGUUUCCCUUCAUUGUUACUUUAGGGUUUACUGUAGACAUCACAAUCAAUUUUAGGUGCAUAACAAUUCUAGUGGCAUAUAUGUAUAUAUAAAUUUUACUUUUGUUCACUUUUGUGUACUUUGGCUCUCCUUUUUGUGCUAUUGCUGUACACAUUACAUCUAUAUAUGCUAUAUACCCAAUAAUUUAUUGUUAUAACUGUUACUUGAUGAUAUGGUUUGUUGUUUUGUCCUCUCCAAAGUUCAUUUUGAAACAAUUUCAAUGUGACAGCAUUAAGAGCUGGAACCUUGAGGAUAUGAUUAGGCUAUUGGGGUCUGUCCUCAUGGAUGGUAUGAGUGUCUUAUAGAAGGGCUGGAGGGAAUUAGGACCCUUUGCCUUUUCAUCCUUUUCACCGUAUGAAAAUACAGCAUUCGUCCCCUCUGGAGGAUGCAGUAUUCAAGGCACCUCACUAGACACCAAACCUGCCAGCAAAUUGAUCUUAAACUUCCAGCCUGCAGAACUAUGAGAAAUAAAUUUCUUCUUUACAAAUUUCUCAGUCUCUGGUAUAUAUAUGUAUCAGCAUGAACAGACUAACAUACUUGACAUAAUUUUAUGUCUUAAAAAGAUAAAAAGAAACGUACUAUGUAUUUACGGCUUUUGUUACAUUAGCAGUCUUAUUUAUUAUUUCAGGUCUUUUCAUUUGUUCAGCAUUUGAAACUUCUUCCUGACACCAGAAGGGCUCUUCUUAGCUGUCUUUUUCCUGGGUUAUUCCUGGUAAACUAGCUGACCUUUGUUUCAAAGCAUAUGUCUCUAAUAAAGUGCCAGUCUCUCUUAUUUGCUUUUUACCAUCACUUCAUUGUUUUUCAAAGUACGCUUAUGGUUGAAUUUCCCCAAACUCUUCUUUUGGGAAAAGCUUUACACUCUCUGCUCUAUGUUCUGCCCCUUCCUUUGGGCAAAACUUCUGAGCUUUGGCUCUGGUGAUUGUAGCAAAGAGAGCAGCAUUCUCCUCUCGGAGUGACAGCCCUACUUUGAGACUGUCACUGGGAUGGGAAGUAGCCGUUGGUAAUCUCAGCUUUGCCACUCCUGGAAUGAGAACUUUGCCUUACAGACAAACCAGAAAGAAGGCGAUCAGGGCUCAGUGUUCUCAGUGUGUUGCACCCAAACAGUCCCCAUUCCAUGAAUUAGAGCUGGUAGGAAGAAGUGACAUCCUACUUCUUGGCCACAUUCCACAAAAGCUUAAUCUCAAGAACAGGUAGUGGCAGCAGGUGGGGGUUGAAAUGAAAAGUUCGGAUGUACUGUUACUCCCAGAAAGAUACUAUAGCCCCCCAGUGGGGUCUAGUAAAAGUUCUGUGUUCUUGGCUACAUUGCAUUGAGUAGAGUUUAUGUCAAGAUAGGCUAUGAGAAAAAGAGGUAAGAAUGGGUUGUGGAUCAAAUGCAAAAAACUCUUACUGUUCUUAGUGAGUUUCAGUAGAUUUUCUUGAAUAAAUAGUUCAUCAUUUUCUAUGUACCAUUAUGACUUUUCAAGUGACAUAGGUGAUGGUUGUUUUAUAAUUUUCAACAAUUUUAUAAAAGAUCCAUGGAGCUCUUCACAUUGCCAUUCUAGAGGUGGAACUUCUACAUUUAUUUCUUAGGCAAGGAAAUUAAGGUUUUCUUUAAUUUCUCUUCUUCUAAAAUAUGCUUUGGAAUCUCACUCUCUACAGCAAAUUGGGUCUCAGUAUAUUUCUUUCUCCAAGAGAAGUUUGCUAGAUACUCAAAUAAUUUUUGUUUUAUAUUGUUAUGUUUGAAAGGUUGUUUUGUUGUUAAAAGACAAUAGGAAGAUCAACAUGAAACCCUCACAUUCAUUGUAUAUUAUCUUUUCAUUCAGAAAGUUACAAUAUAUUUGAGUGCUCAUGAAGCUUUAAAAAGAAGUGGAUUAAGUAAUCAAUCUCCCUAGACAGAUAAAAAAGCACAUGAUAUUUUGGUAUUCCCCAACUGUUGUUAUUUGACUUUCAUGUUCUAGCAAAUAACUUUCAACAAUUUGUCAACUUACUUGCACAUUUAUAUUUUAUAUUAUUAAUUCCAUUAUUUAUGCAUGUGUUGAAUAGACUUUAAUAUAUAGAGUAGAUGUUGACACACUCGAAUUUGUAACAAAGUGAAAAAUUACUUUGAUACAUAUUUUUUCUGACAAAAUUAUGAAGUGCUUUUCCAUCUCUUCUAAAACAACAUAGAAAACAUGUUUCUUUCUCAUUAUUAAAUACAUGACUCGGAAUACAGCAAAAUUAAUUGGCUAUAAAGCAAACCUUUAAAAGAGAAUAGUUUGAUGAAAAAUAUAAGCAUUCUUAGUUAUACAUAAGAUCCCACAGAGCCAAUUUAACUUUUUUUCCAGAUUUAUGUCCCAAUUUAAAACUUUAAUUCCUACUGUCUAAGCAUUGUGGCUAAAAGUAUGAGAUAAGUAAUUACUCCUGACAUCCAACUUUUGUGAUCAUAGUAGGUGACAUUCCUUUGAAAAAAGUAACUUGAAAAUUUUCUGGUAAACGUUACGUUUGUGUGUGGGUGUAGAGUUUCAUUUUCAAAACAAGCUCUCACAUAUCAAAGUUAAGUGUUUUAAUUAUCUUGUAAGACUAUGUCCUUGGAUCCUAUGCUGUAUGCCAAUAUUUAUACAUGUUGAAUAUGCUUUCAUUUAACUUACAUAGCCAUAAUGCUUAACUUUAAUCAGAGAUUCCUUACUAAUUCUGAUGAAUGUUGGUAGAAAAUAUGCUGAAAAUAAAAUAUGUUAGAAUAAUUUUCAAUGAAAGGAUAAAAGGAAAGAAGCUAGCAGAAGAGCCAGCACCACAGAAAGCAAAGUCACAUUCUGGAUCCAAGCAACAUUUCCAUGAGCAAAGAACCAGCAAAUUGGAUUCACGAGACAGGGAGCAGAAGCAAGAGUGUGAAGAGGAAAUUGACUUUUUUUUGUUUUUUAUUUGUUUUCUCAUGAGGAGAGUAUACUAGUAGUAGAAAAAAGUUACAUGACUGAUUCCAGAGAGACACAGGUAGAAUAUCUGGACCCUCUGUAUAGGAUAGCUAGUGAUUAUAUUGUGUGUUCUGGAGGUAAGAUUUGUAUAAAUUCAAGCCUACAAUAGUAUCAAGGCCUAUUAAGCAAACAUCCAUUAGACAGCAUGAAAGACUAAGAGGCUUUCAAACUACAAGUGUCAAUAGUUAAAUGUGAAGCAAGUACAUAUAGACAUUUGAUACUAUGACAAAAUAAUGAGAGGUUUAUCAUAAUAUAAUUUAAUAUUUUGUUCUUCAGUUUAGUAAUUAUAUAAAGCUACAUGCUAGUUUUUCACAACUUAACCAAUCCUCUUUAAUAUAUUUUUAUGAAAUUUCCUGCUAUACUUGGGAUACAGUUUAGAGUGUAAACUCAUUUUGUAGGAUUUUUUUUAAAAAAUCCUGAAACAACAUAGUGAUAAAUUUAAAUAGUUUUGCCAGUUGAAUCAUGUAUGUGAUAAAAAGGCUUUAUAUUUUUGAUUCCUAAAUCAGGGUAUGACAGUACAAAUCAUAAAUCAAGUAUUCUUAUGUCCAUUGUAUAAAUAUAGAAUAAUGCCCAAACCUUUUUUGAAUGUGAGGGUAUGUCAUGAGCAUCAAAAGGGGAAAAAAAAGUAUGAAAAUCCCUAAGAGUUUUACUCUGGAAAGUCAUAUAGAUUGUGCAUUCUUUAGCUGACAUUUUAAAACAGAUACCUGAAAUCAUUUGCUUAACCCCUUUGAAUAAUAUACUAUUGCCUUUAAGAGAAAUUCUGUAAUCUACUAAAGGUCCUUUUCGUAUAGCCCUGACCUCUCUCCAGUCACGUGCCGUUACUGGUGUCUGUGACCCAAACACACUAGUUGUCUCUCGAUUUCGCUAAGACGUUCUGCAUUCUUUCUUCUCACAGCUUUUAUGUCUAUUGCUUCUUCAAGGCAUACUUCUCUAAUAUUUACUAGCUACUAUUAUUUUGAAUGAGUUUAAUGGUUUAUUUUCGAGGAGACAAGGGCAAAUUUUGCUGCUCUGUAUUCCCAUAGUAUUGUGGUCUUCUCUAUAUUAAAAACUCAUCGGGCUAAAAAUUGUUUGUGGUUCCCAUUUAUUUACCUGCUAGAUUGUAAAUUCCAUGAGGACUGGAAAUUCAACUCUUAUUUACCUGUGUAUCUCAAACUUUGUAACAUUCUUUCUGUGAGACAGUCAUGUAUUUAUUAAAAUGAAUGAAAUGUUUAUGUCUAUAGACUACAUUACCAAUACCUCUUGCACUAUUAAAUUUUCCUUAAUUUCAAAAAAGCCAAACAUUAUUUUUUUCUCAUUUAUAUAGUUUGAAAUUCUUUUCUAGCAAUAAUGUUUCACCCAUAAAAAGACCUAUUAAAAUUUAAUAAUAAGGGGAGGGAUAAAAUAACUAUGCAUUUUUUGUUGAAAUCACAGUUGUCUGAUACUUUAAUUAUGCUAUCUAAUUUAACCUUUCAUAAAUGCCCAGAAUAUGAGAAUAUCAUCCAAGAUUUAAAUACCAAUUGCCAAAAUUUACAGCUAUCAAAUGGAAGACUCAGGUUUGUGCUAUGCCACAUUUUCUGUUCUUUCCUUUUUGUGAUGGUAUGCCAAACUGUGGAGAAAGAAAGCAUUUCUAUUUGUGAUUGCCUCUGCUAGUUAUUUCUGCAAAACAAACUACUCAAAUUCAGUGGCAUGAUGCAAUAACCAUUUUGUCAUCCUCAAAUAUUCUGGGGUCGGGGUUGAAAAUGCAAAGUGGGGUGACAUUUCUGUGGUAUACAGUAUUUGGGGCCUCUGAGAAGUCCUAGAUGUCUAGGAAUGAAUUAAACGUUGGACAAUGAAAUCUUCUAAAAGCUUCUUUACAUGUUUGGCUCCUGCAUUGGUAUGACUUAAAGGCUGGGCUCAAAAUAAUCUCUUAACCAGAGUGUCUGAAUAUUGCUUCUUCAUGUAACUUGAGCUUCCUCACAGCAUGGAAUCAUACAGGUAGCUUGCCUGAGUGUUUCAGUUAAUGGGUCAUUGUAUUGCCUUUAAUAAUCUUGCCUCAGAAGUCACAUAGAAUUACUUUAACGCUGAGUUGGUUUAAGCAAUCACAGCCUGUCUGACUUCAGGGGGAAGAAACAUGAUGUCUACCCUUUGAUGUGAGGACAUUCAAAGUAUUCGUAGCUAUAUUUUUAAAAUGCCACAGUUAUCUUCUUUUCAAAGAGAUGCCAUAUCCUUAUUAUCAGCAAUAGAAUCAGGAUUUGAAAAUAGUUCUUUUGCUACAUACGCAUUUUUAUAAUCAUUCUUGCUAUUAUAAUUUUUUUCAGAAAGGGUGAAGGGGUAAGGAUUAUGUUUCAUUCUUUCUCAAAUUUUGUAUUCUAUAAGUAUUUUUAUUUUUUGUCCAUAAUAGAUUAUGGUACAAAGGUAACUCAAAACUAGAGUGUAUAAAUAUAAAAAAUAAGUUUUCAUAUCCAAGCUGUGGAUAAGAUAUUAAAAUAUAAAAAAGAUUUUGAAUUUGUUUUAAAAAUUAAGUCUUCUAAUUUUGUGAAAAGAACUAAGAUAAUUGUCCACUAAUCACUCAUUAAAUCUCCUUAUUAACUUAAUUUCCUUAUUAACAUUAACAAAGCCUGCAUUGCCAAGACAAUCCUAAGCCAAAAGAACAAAGCUGGAGGCAUCAUGCUACCUGACUUCAAACUAUACUACAAGGCUACAGUAAGCAAAACAGCAGGGUGCUGGUACCAAAACAGAGAUACAGACCAGUGGAACAGAACAGAGCCCUCAGAAAUAAUACCACAUAUCUACAACCCAUCUGAUCUUUGACAAACCUGACAAAAACAAGAAAUGGGGAAAGGAUUCCCUAUUUAAUAAAUGGUGCUGGGAAAACUGGUUAGUCACAUGUAGAAAGCUGAAACUGGAUCCCUUCCUUACACCUUAGACAAAAAUUAAUUCAAGAUGGAUUAAAGACUUACAUGUUAGACCUAAAGCCAUAAAAACCCUAGAAGAAAACCUAGGCAAUACCAUUCAAGGCAUAGGCAUGGGCAAGGACUUCAUGUCUAAAACACAAAAAGCAAUGGCUACAAAAGCCAAAAUUGACAAAUGGGAUCUAAUUAAACUAAAAAGCUUCUGCACAGCAAAAGAAACUACCAUCAGAGUGAACAGGCAACCUACAGAAUGGGAGAAAAUUUUUGCAAUCUACUCAUCUGACAAAGGGCUAAUAUCCAGAACCUACAAAGAACUCAAACAAAUUUACAAGAAAAAAAAAAAACCAUCAAAAAGUGGGCAAAGGAUAUGAACAGACACUUCUCAAAAGAAGACAUUUAUGCAGCCAACAGACACAUGAAAAAAUGCUCAUCAUCACUGGCCAUCAGAGAAAUGCAAAUCAAAACCACAGUGAGAUACCAUCUCACACCAGUUAGAAUGGUGAUCAUUAAAAAGUCAGGAAACAGCAGGUGCUGGAGAGGAUGUUGAGAAAUAGGAACACUUUAAUGCUGUUGGUGGGACUGUAAACUGGGUCAACCAUGGUGGAAGAAAGUGUGGCGAUUCCUCAAGGAUCUAGAACUAGAAAUACCAUUUGACCCAGCAAUCCCAUUAGUGGGUAUACACCCAAAGGAUUAUAAAUCAUGCUACUAUAAAGACACAUGCACACGUAUGUUUAUUGUGGCACUAUUCACAAUAGCAAAGACUUGGAACCAACCCAAAUGUCCAACAAUGAUAGAAUGGAUUAAGAAAAUGUGGCACAUAUACACCAUGGAAUACUAUGCAGCCAUAAAAAGGAUAAGUUCAUGUCCUUUGUAGGGACAUGGAUGAAGCUGGAAACCAUCAUUCUCAGCAAACUAUGGCAGGGACAAAAAAUCAAACACUGCAUGUUCUCACUCAUAGGUGGGAAUUGAACAAUGAGAACACUUGAACACAGGAAAGGGAAACAUCACACUGGGGCCUGUCAUGGGGUGGGGGGAGGGGGGAGGGAUAACAUUAGGAGAUAUACCUAAUGUAAAUGAGGAGUUAAUGGGUGCAGCACACCAACAUGGCACAUGUAUACAUAUGUAACAAACCUGCACAUUGUGCACAUGUAUCCUAGAACUUAAAGUAUAAUAAAAAAAAUAGUAAAUAUCAAUAGAUACAACUGACUUAAACAAAAGCUCUUUGGAAUCUGCAAUCAUUUUUAUUUUAUUUAUUUAUUUAUCAUUAUGAAGACAGUUUAACUGAGAUCCAGUCAUUUGAUAGAAAACUAGAGCUUCCUGUGUCAAUAAGGACUGAUCUCAAAAAUGUGUGUCCAGACAAAAGAAAGUUGCAAAAUAUGUAGAGUGUACAACAAUUUAUAUACACUUUUAGGACAUGAAAACAAAUUAUACUUAUUAUUUAUGACCAUACACAUAUGUAAUAAAAUGUUUUAUAAGGGAAUGGACAUGAUAAAUGCUUAAUUCAGGGUAUUGGUUACCUCUAGGCAAUAAUAUUUAAUCAUAUAAAAGGAGCCCCAGGCCAAAAAGUUUCAGAAUCAGUGUUUUAAAAGACUGUGUCCACCAUACAGUUAUUAAGGAGUGAUUAAUUGCUUUCCUCAUUUUUGAUAAUCAAAGAUACCCCCACAAUACACACACACAUGAUCUGCUAACCAGAAUAUCUGACUGGCUUUAAAUCAUCAGUAUAGCCACACUAUGAUGAAACAAUUAAACUUAAAGCACAACUCACAUGUUGGCAAGUAAAGUUUGUCUUAUAUUAUUUCCACCUUCCUAAUACCCACUCUUCCUUUUUCUGAAGUAUUAUCUCAUUUUACCACCCUCCAUCAUAUCCAACUGCUUCUUUUCCCUUCAUUUACUCCCUGUACUCUCUGCCUUCCACAUUGUUUAUUCUCCCUUUUACUCUUAUCCUUUUCCUUCUAUCCUGACACUGCAUAUCUAGGGUUCAGUACUAUCCACAGUUCCAGGCAUUCACUGGGGGUCUUGGAAUAUAUCCCCAUGGAUAAGGGGGGAAAACUGUACAUUUUGUUGUGUAGGUCUAUGGGUGCUGUGCUGUGUUAUAUGGCAAAACAUAGGGAAGAGACCAGGGACAAGGAUCUUUGCAAAGACUUUUGAGCUGCCAGUGGAGAAGAGCUCAAGGGAGAUCAAUGUACUCACUCUCACUAAUCAUCUUCUAGGGCAGAUGCUGGCAAUGUUUACUGAGUUCUAGCUAUUUUCCCUAGCACAAACAAGGCUCAAAUUCACCUCCCAUUUUACCUCCUAUGGACAGAACCACUGGAAAGAUCACUCCCAUAAAGAGCUUAUUCAUUCUGAGCCACACCAUUCAUUCAGUGAGAAGCUUAAGAAGAAACACUGCCACGGUGUAUGAAAAAUAAAUAUGAAAAACUACCUGAUAUGAAAAAUAUAUAUGAACAGAACUAUCAAUCAAGCUGCCAGAAUGUGCCAACAGUUGUUAACUGUCUCCGGUGAAAACAAAAUUAUUUUUCACUUCUUGUAAAGCAAAACACUGGUAUUUCUUAUGACAGAGCAUCUAGUUACAGAUGAGCCAUGUUAUAAUAAUAUAGACUGUUUUCAAGCUCAUCCCUAUAAAGAAGAGAACCAGUGAGGAACAUAUUUAUUCACCUGUAAUAUUCACUGCCUGAUCUUCUUUUUAAGUGCAAGGUAAGUACGCAAGACUUUGUGAUUCCAGUUUUAUAAAGACCAGCUCUUGAGAUUAUCCUGUCCCAUCGCUAAAGUCUAUCUGGACCCAUCUCCUAGAGCACGAUGGUCCAGUUAGUGCUGUGGAAUACUGCAUGGUGCCAUUUUUCCCCACCCUCCCCGUUACAUGGCAAAUGUCUACAGAAAUCACACUUUCUCAGCACGUCAAGUCAUAUGUCAUCAGAUCCUAUUCUGAUGAACAAAACACGAGAAAAACAAAGGCAAGGACAAAGAACAUCUAAAAUGACAGAAUCCAAUUACUAUGGAAAUUUGUUGUUUAAAUAUUCAAAAAGAUAUCCACUGUUUUAUUCCAACUAUAUGACUAGUCUGGAAAAAGCAAAACUAUGGAGACGCCAAAAAGAACAAUGGUUGCCAGAAGCCAGUGGAGAAGAAGAAACAAAAUGGCAGAGGACAGAGGAUAUUUAGGGCAGUGAAACUAUUUUGUCUAUGAUACUACAAGGGUAUAUACAUGCCAUUACACAUUUGUCCAAUAUCAUGGAGUAUACUACACCAAGAGUGAACCCUAAUGUAAACUGUGGACCUUGGGAGUGAUGUGUCUGUCAAGGUAGAUUCCUCAACUGUAACUGAUGAACUCUGAUGGGGGGUACUGAUAAUGAGGGAGGCUAUUCAUAUGUCAGGGGUCAUGGGGAAUAUGGAAAGUCUCUGUACCUUCUCAGUUUUGCUGUGAAUCUAAGACUGCUCGGAAAAUAAUGUUACUAAUUUUAAAAAAUUACUCACUGAACUUGCUAUUACCCUAAACUAUAAAAAGACAGAGUCACCUUGAAAACUGCAAAUCACUAAAGAUCAAGGUAACAGAAUAUGAGUACUAUCUCCCAAAUUGAAGCAUAUAAAAACACAUAAAGCAAUUAAUUUUAAUUGCAUAUUUAGGCAAAAAAAAUUGAUAAAAAUAAUUGAAUAUCUAAUCUUAUUUCAUAAUUAUAAACAGGGACUUAAUACAAUAUGAAUCAAAAAUGGUCCAUCCAUGUAAAUAAAAUGAAAGACAAUUUUUAUUCUAAUUUUAAAUCAGAAAUUAUUAUGCCUAUUUUAUCCCACAAUUUUACUGAAAAGUUAAUCAGGUAAGAAGGACAGAUUAUAAUUACUUAAUAUUGCCAUAGUAACUUAUGCAUAAAUACCUGUUAAGUAUUCACCAAAUGUCAAAACUGUAAGCAGCCUUGCUGCUUAACAUGAAUGAUGCAACUGAAACAAAUACCAUGUUAUGGUCUAUCAUAAUAUUUGCUAUUAUAUUACAUAAAAUUUUAAGAUAACAUCAAAAAUUUAGUCAGGGCCAUAGCUGCUGGGCAGCAAAGAUUUCAUAUAGCAGGCACAAGACAUCCAUCCUUAGAAAGGCUUGCUUGCAAGGCUAGUCCUUGGCUGGUGUUUGGGACCUUGAAUUUGAGAGGGUUCCCACCAUUCCCUAACUUAGAAGAAGGGAAUGGCUCACUGUGCCUAAAUUGUUUGUGCAAAUGUGGUUUACUAUGAACAGUUAAUCUCUUCCUGGGAGUCUAGAAUUUUGUUACAUGUGAGGGAGAGAAGAGGUGGCCUAUGUGACUAGCCUCCGUUGAAAACAUGGAUGCUAAGUCUCUAAUGAAACUCUGGUAAGGUAGACAACAUUGCACAUGUGUCGUCAAAAUUUGAGGCUGGGGGAAUUAAGCGCAUCCUGCUAACUACACAGGAGAUGACUCCUGUAGCUUGUGCCUGGCUUCCUCCAGACUUUGACACAUGCACCUUUUCCCUUCUUGAAUUUUACUUUGUGUCUUUUCACUGUAUUAAAUAUAAUAAAUGAAAGCCCCGAGUAUGACUGACUGCUGAGUCCUGUGAGUCCUUCUCAGUGAAUUACCAAACCUAGGAUGGUCUUGGGAACCCCUGAUACAAUUGCAUUAUACAAUUUUUUUUAUUGUUUAAGUUGAUGUGUUAUAUGUGACUACAAUCAGAAGGAGUUUUAACUUAUCUGGCAGGGAGAAGAGUCUAUCUUAUAUAUAGAUGGUUAAAAUUGUGGUAAUCCAAUUGACCAUAUAUUCUAGUUAAAUCACAGAUUACCAAUUUCUGAAGAAAUAUAAUACCAGAAAAGCACUUCACAUUUAAACUAUGUCAGAUAAAACAAUUUGUAUUUGAUAACCCAGAAGACACUUAAAAUCUUGGCAGACCAUCAUCGUUGUAUCAUUGUGGUGCAGAUAUAAAGAAGUGCAUUUGAAAUGUGUUCUAAUAGUAUUUUCUUUAGGGAUGAAAUGCAAAAGGAAGCAGUAAGAGCAGAAAUACGACAAGGGGAUAAAAUGAAAAGGGAACUGCACUAAUAAAAAGAGUCAGGCACUGAUUUUUCUACUGAUGUGACCAGUAUUCCCCAAGUACUGAGAACUACUAUAUUCAGCAUUUCACUUUAUAUUCUUCUCCAGGACAUUGUAUUAGUUUCCUGCAAUAAAAUAUUUUUACAAUGUCAGUUUGUCGAAACUGCUGGACUGUAAACUAUUUCUAAUCGAAACCUGAAAUUGUGUCACAACAUGGCUGUAUUACGAUUCCAUGUCAGAGGAAGGAUAUAUACGUGCAUCUGGUAGUGGCUUCCAGUUGUUGCUGUCAGAUGUUUGUUUGGGAAUGCAUUCAGAAGAGCUUAUCAAGGACUUGAGUACAAAACAAGCAUUUCCACAAAAAAGCAGGUAAGAAAGACACUUCUCCUCACAAAUGACCUUAGGUUUAGACAAUUCUAGGAAAAUGGUGGUACAUUAACUCAACGUCUUGACCAUUUUCCCUGAUCCUGUAUAGGGAGCUGCUGCAGUUACAAAAGUUAGACAGGAUCUUGGUAGGUGUAUUCUUCCACAUUUGAACACCGGAAGUACUGAUCACAUAAACAGCGAACCCCACAACUCUAUGAUUGUUCUUUAGAAGAGAGUGCCACCGAGAGCUUUUAAAAAGUUAACUCACUUUUCAGUAAUCUUACUGGUUAGAAUUGAUACUCCCUCCCUGAAAUUCUCACCUUCAUAAAUUUUUGCAGCAUCACUUUAUGAUUCCUCUCCUUUUACUUAAGCCACUGCUCAGGCUUCUUUCCUAACUCCUCUGGGAAAUGCUGAUAUUCCCAGGGUUCUGUCACUGGCCCUCUGCUCAUUCUAUACCUUUCCCAUCAUGGAUAAGCUCACUCAGAUCUACAACUUUGCCUCCGUUAUUCCAAGUCUGCAACUCCAACCUCCGAGUUCCAUCUCCAACCAUAAAAAUUUUAUGCAAUUACCUACUGAAAAUAUCCCACAUGGACAUUUCAGUAAACUCAGCAAUGCAGAGAAAACUGUUAGUCGUGGCUGCUGACCCACGCUCUCCUCUAUACACCUGAAAACUGCCUACUCCCUCGUGUCCAGGUUAAAUGCUAGGGCACAAGCCAGAAACCUGAGAAUCAUCUGAGAUUUCUCCCUAUCCCCUAUCUUUUUACAUUCAACAGUCACUAAAUCAUAUUAACUGUACCUCUUUUCUGCAUCUGCUUUAUAUUUCCACUGUGACACAUUUA
rnacentral:lncRNA from 1 species